GCAAAUCUAGCCACAACCAUGGAGGCCAGGCAGUGGUGGCACACACCUUUAAUUCCAGCAGCCACACUAUUUAGCCAUGGAAGCCAGAAAGUGGUGGCACAGAUCUUUAAUCCCAGGAUUCAGGAGACAGAGGCAGAUGGAUGUCUGUGAGCUCAAGGCCACCCAGGGCUACAUGAGAGUCAAUCAGUCUACAAGAGAAACAGCUCAUGCCUUUCAUCCCAGCACUAGCCAGGAACAUACAUAAGAUAGGAGCAGGGUCUCAGAGCUGGCAAUUAGUCUCCAGCCAGGUUGAGGAUUUUGGUGGAGAGCAUUGCAGUCUACGCAGUCUGAAGAGCAGUGCAGUUUGGAGAUGUAAUCAGAGGACAUGAUCACCCCUUCAGUCUGAGCAUUGGGAGAGGUAAGAACUGUCUAGUGGCUGGCCACUUUGCUUCUCUGUUUUUCAGCUUUAACCCCAAUAUCUGUCUCUGGGUUUUUAUUAUUCAUGCUACAAAGCUUCCUGCUUUUCCAGAGUACUUAACAAAAUAGCAUCUGUGUGUUUCAUUGGGGCAGAGAAGGGUGGUGGGACCAGUCAAGCCAGAAAAACCUCAAGUAACAAAAUGGCACCAGCAACGUUUGGCAUGAAUUUCCACUUAAAACUCGACAAAAUUUAAAAAGGGAUAAAGAAAAAAAAAUGAAGAACUUCCCAAGCUCUUCCUUGAUUUCCUCAAUAUCUUUUGAUGAGACAGGAUCUGAAGAGUCGAGCAAGCUGUCCCACCAGCCGGUGCUGCUGUUCCUCGGGGACCCAUACGUCUUGCCUGCAGCCAGUGAUUUUCCAAAUGUGGUCAUCGAAGGAGUUCUUCAUGGAAUAUUUUACUCUCACCUGAAGCUCAGGUUCCUUUUCACUGGCAUCAUGUAUGGAUUAAUGUGAGUUUGGUGUUUGCUGCUGUCUCUCCACUGGAUGUCACACAGAUGGUCAUCUUUUGCUCAGUGACAGAGCCCAGCGUGUGUCCCACCUGUGUGUAUGUGCUGAUGAACAACCUACUUGUGGUUAUGGAUUUUCAUAAAUUUAAAUGUUGGAGAAAAUAUUGACAAUUGAAAGUACCAUGUCAUGAAUUUUUAUUAGAGCCCAAACCUACAGAUUGAAACCCUGCUGCAAACCUUUAAAAGAUACAUUUUUAUGAUUGAUUGUGUAAUUACAUGUUAGGAAUAAAGUAAUCAAGUGUUAUCAGCAUAAAACAUAACUAAAUGGUGAAGUAUUAUAGAUACUUUUUAAUGUUUUUUUGUUACUAGCUAUUUUGAGUUAAAUAAAAACAAAUAAAAAAAAAGAAUCUUCCUGACUCAGCAUAAGUGGCAAAAAAAAAAAAAGCAAGGCUCUUUUAAGGGGCCCUGCUAACA
rnacentral:lncRNA from 1 species